UUUGGGAUGCUUCUUAAGUAAAGGACAAUCGGCUUAGAGUAUCUUCUCUUGUUGCAAUUGUAGCAUGUGACCCUCUUCUUUUUUUUUUGUUCAUUUUUUUCUUCUUCAUACUUCUCUUCAUGAGGAAUUUUUUGAAUUUUCUUGUAAGUGAUGCCAUAUCCUCAUCAUCUUCACUCUCUUCUUCAUCUUCUUCUUACUCCGACUCAUCAUUUUCUUUAUAAUGUGCAGUAGAUUUAAAGGUGAUGGUUUUUAUCUUCUUUAGCUCUUCUUCUUCCUCUCUUUGAACCAUGUUCAACUCAUAAGUCAUGAGUGAAUCUAUCAACUUUUCUAAGGACAGCUUGGUAAGGUCUUUACUUUUUAAUUUCUUGUAUAACUGUCACUUUUGCUUUCUAUUCUUUUGGUAAAGAUC
rnacentral:lncRNA from 1 species